GACGAACGCUGGCGGCGUGCUUAACACAUGCAAGUCGAACGGAAAGGCCCUGCUUUUGUGGGGUGCUCGAGUGGCGAACGGGUGAGUAACACGUGAGUAACCUGCCCUUGACUGUGGGAUAACUUCAGGAAACUGGGGCUAUUACCCGAUAGGAGCUCCUGCGGCAUGGGGGGGGUUGGAAAGUUUCGGCGGUUGGGGAUGGACUCGCGGCUUAUCAGCUUGUUGGUGGGGUAGUGGCUUACCAAGGCUUUGACGGGUAGCCGGCCUGAGAGGGUGACCGGCCACAUUGGGACUGAGAUACGGCCCAGACUCCUACGGGAGGCAGCAGUGGAGAAUAUUGCACAAUGGGCGGAAGCCUGAUGCAGCAACGCCGCGUGCGGGAUGACGGCCUUCGGGUUGUAAACCGCUUUCGCCUGUGACGAAGCGUGAGUGACGGUAAUGGGUAAAGAAGCACCGGCUAACUACGUG
rnacentral:rRNA from 1 species